rnacentral:lncRNA from 1 species
AGGCAAUUGCCUAUCGAGUGUACCUAGUGUGGACAAAAGCUUUGCCGUAGGGACUUUGCUACGAAUUAAAUAAGGGGGAUGGUAGGGUCACCCGACCCCAACUUUGGACCUCAAAACAAAAAAGUUCCGUAACUUUAACCCGACUGGGUAUUUGGGUCCAGGCAACCUUAGGCAAUUGCCUAUCGAGUGUACCUAGUGUGGACAAAAGCUUUGCCGUAGGGACUUUGCUACGAAUUUAAUAAGGGGGAUGGUAGGGUCACCCGACCCCAACUUUGGACCUCAAAACAAAAAAGUUCCGUAACUUUAACCCGACUGGGUAUUUGGGUCCAGGCAACCUUAGGCAAUUGCCUAUCGAGUGUA